rnacentral:rRNA from 1 species
UACGUAGGUGGCAAGCGUUGUCCGGAUUUACUGGGCGUAAAGAGCGCGCAGGCGGUCGUUCAAGUCGCGUGUGAAAGCCCCCGGCUCAACUGGGGAGGGUCACGCGAUACUGAUCGACUCGAAGGCAGGAGAGGGAAGUGGAAUUCCCGGUGUAGUGGUGAAAUGCGUAGACAUCGGGAGGAACACCAGUGGCGAAGGCGACUUCCUGGCCUGUUCUUGACGCUGAGGCGCGAAAGCUAGGGGAGCAAACGGGG